rnacentral:rRNA from 1 species
CCUACGGGAGGCUGCAGUAGGGAAUCUUCCACAAUGGGCGAAAGCCUGAUGGAGCAACGCCGCGUGGGUGAAGAAGGUCUUCGGAUCGUAAAACCCUGUUGUUAGAGAAGAAAGUGCGUGAGAGUAACUGUUCACGUUUCGACGGUAUCUAACCAGAAAGCAACGGCUAACUACGUGCCAGCAGCCGCGGUAAUACGUAGGUGGCAAGCGUUAUCCGGAUUUACUGGGCGUAAAGGGAACGCAGGCGGUCUUUUAAGUCUGAUGUGAAAGCCUUCGGCUUAACCGGGGUAGUGCAUUGGAAACUGGGAGGCUUGAGUGCAGAAGAGGGGAGUAGAACUCCAUGUGUAGCGGUGAAAUGCGUAGAGAUAUGGAAGAACACCAGUGGCGAAGGCGGCUCUCUGGUCUGUGACUGACGCUGAGGUUCGAAAGCGUGGGUAGCAAACAGGAUUAGAUACCCGAGUAGUC